GACGAACGCUGGCGGCGUGCCUAAUACAUGCAAGUUGAGCGAUGAAGAUUGGUGCUUGCACCAAUUUGAAGAGCAGCGAACGGGUGAGUAACGCGUGGGGAAUCUGCCUUUGAGCGGGGGACAACAUUUGGAAACGAAUGCUAAUACCGCAUAAUAACUUUAAACAUAAGUUUUAAGUUUGAAAGAUGCAAUUGCAUCACUCAAAGAUGAUCCCGCGUUGUAUUAGCUAGUUGGUGAGGUAAAGGCUCACCAAGGCGAUGAUACAUAGCCGACCUGAGAGGGUGAUCGGCCACAUUGGGGCUGAGACACGGCCCAAACGCCUACGGGAGGCAGCAGUAGGGAAUCUUCGGCAAUGGACGAAAGUCUGACCGAGCAACGCCGCGUGAGUGAAGAAGGUUGUCGGAUCGUAAAACUCUGUUGGUAGAGAAGAACGUUGGUGAGAGUGGAAAGCUCAUCAAGUGACGGUAACUACCCAGAAAGGGACGGCUAACUACGUG
rnacentral:rRNA from 1 species